GUCUUCUAUCUUGCUAGCUCUAUUUUAUUUGCUCCCCCCACCCCCACACCCCCAACUUGUAUUUUGUGUUUAUGAUCAAUAUAUAUACCGGCAGAGCCAGUUACUUAAAAAUACCGUCGGAGCAUCUCCUGCAGUUCUCGGCAGAAAGAAAAACAUUUCCAUGCCCGGGAAGAAAAUUGGGGUUCAGAGUUCUUUCGUUGUGAGGAGGGCCAGAAUGGAUGCCCAGCUCGGAAUCAAAUUUGUCUGAUUGGUGGAUAUCGAUCCCACUGCAGGGGAAGUGAAGAGAGGACUUCGAGUAAAUUAAAAAAAAACAUCACGUUACAUGUUAGGGUU
rnacentral:lncRNA from 1 species